GACGAACGCUGGCGGCGUGCCUAACACAUGCAAGUUGAGCGACGAACCAGGGCUUGCCCUGGGGCAAAGCAGCGAACGGGUGAGUAACACGUGGGUAACGUGCCCCGAUAACCGGGACAACCCGAGGAAACUCGGGCUAAUACCGGAUGUGCUCGCCGGACAUCAGUCCGGCGCGUAAAGGAGCUUCGGCCUCCGUAUCGGGAGCGGCCCGCGGCCCAUUAGCUAGUUGGUGAGGUAACGCUCACCAAGGCCGCGAUGGGUAGCUGGUCUGAGAGGACGAUC
rnacentral:rRNA from 1 species